UACGUAGGUGGCAAGCGUUGUCCGGAUUUACUGGGCGUAAAGGGCGUGCAGGCGGUUUGUUAAGUCUAGGGUGAAAGCUCCCGGCUCAACUGGGAGAGGUCCUUGGAUACUGGCAGACUUGAGGAGGGUAGAGGAGAGUGGAAUUCCCGGUGUAGUGGUGAUAUGCGUAGAUAUCGGGAGGAACACCAGUGGCGAAGGCGGCUCUCUGGGCCCUACCUGACGCUGAGACGCGAAAGCGUGGGGAGCGAACAGG
rnacentral:rRNA from 1 species